CAUCUGGGAAAUAUCUGUGGGAUUUCUUGCAUUGUAAGAAAAGGAAGGAAGGAAGGAAGGAAGGAUGGAAGGAAGGAAGGAAGGAAGGAAGGAAGGAAGGAAGGAAGGAAGGAAGGAAGGAAGGAAAUCUUCAGCACUUGGAAAGCACAUAAACUGCAGUUGCCUUCUUUUAAUACCAAUAACAAUCUUACGAGAUAAAGUGGGCUAAAUGUGAGUGACUGACCAAAAAUCACCUGAAUAGAACAAAAGAAUACAAGAAUGAAGAAAAGAACAAGUUCAUAAAGUCACUUUUCUUGUAUCUGUUUCCGUCCAAUCUUCAUUUUCAACUUCUUUGAGGUUACCCUAUCUACCUAGCACAUUGCUGCCACUGUGAGUUCCUAAGAACAAAUGUUUUGGCUUUAAGGAUCAAAGACAUAUAAAUACCAUGCUUCUCAAAGCCAACCUGUCAUUUCUGUGACCUUAGCAAUAGUACAAAAUAUCUCCUUGACACUGAUCAGUCACAAAACAGAUGGCAGGUGUGAAACUGAGUAAGAAUUCAUCAAAAGGUACAGCUAUAUCUGCUAUGGACAAAGACAAAGUUCAUAUCAAACUACAUAUGAUUCAUCCAAGCAAGAAUAUCUGUUCUGGAAAUGGUUGGUUUCAAGGCUGUAAUUACCACUAUCUCUACUUCCUAUUUUUAUUUCCUUGGACCGUGUUCCUCAGUAUUCCAUCCAUCUCUACUCUACAAAUAAAGAGUGAAAUGUAUAUAUAUAUAUACUCAGGAUAAUAAUUCAUGCACCUGAUAAACUGGAUUAUGGACCCUGAAAA